GACGAACGCUGGCGGCGCGCUUAACACAUGCAAGUCGAACGGAAAGGCCUGCUUUCCCUUGUGGAUUGCGGGUACUCGAGUGGCGAACGGGUGAGUAACACGUGAGUGAUCUGCCCCCAACUUGGGUAUAAGCUUGGGAAACUGGGUCUAAUUCCCGAUAGGACUGCAGGGUGGUGCCUGUGGUGGAAAACGAUUUUCUAGUGGUUGGGGAUGAGCUCGCGGCCUAUCAGCUUGUUGGUGGGGUAAUGGCCUACCAAGGCGGCGACGGGUAGCCGGCCUGAGAGGGUGGACGGCCACAUUGGGACUGAGAUACGGCCCAGACUCCGACGGGAGGCAGCAGUGGGGAAUAUUGCACAAUGGGCGGAAGCCUGAUGCAGCGACGCCGCGUGGGGGAUGACGGCCUUCGGGUUGUAAACUCCUUUCGACCGCGAGGAAGCCACCUGGUUGGAAGGGUGGUGACGGUAGUGGGAGAAGAAGCACCGGCUAACUACGUG
rnacentral:rRNA from 1 species